rnacentral:rRNA from 1 species
UGCAGUCGAACGAUGAAGCCCUUCGGGGUGGAUUAGUGGCGAACGGGUGAGUAACACGUGGGCAAUCUGCCCUUCACUCUGGGACAAGCCCUGGAAACGGGGUCUAAUACCGGAUAACACUUCCGUCCUCCUGGACGGUGGUUAAAAGCUCCGGCGGUGAAGGAUGAGCCCGCGGCCUAUCAGCUUGUUGGUGAGGUAAUGGCUCACCAAGGCGACGACGGGUAGCCGGCCUGAGAGGGCGACCGGCCACACUGGGACUGAGACACGGCCCAGACUCCUACGGGAGGCAGCAGUGGGGAAUAUUGCACAAUGGGCGAAAGCCUGAUGCAGCGACGCCGCGUGAGGGAUGACGGCCUUCGGGUUGUAAACCUCUUUCAGCAGGGAAGAAGCGAAAGUGACGGUACCUGCAGAAGAAGCGCCGGCUAACUACGUGCCAGCAGCCGCGGUAAUACGUAGGGCGCAAGCGUUGUCCGGAAUUAUUGGGCGUAAAGAGCUCGUAGGCGGCUUGUCACGUCGGUUGUGAAAGCCCGGGGCUUAACCCCGGGUCUGCAGUCGAUACGGGCAGGCUAGAGUGUGGUAGGGGAGAUCGGAAUUCCUGGUGUAGCGGUGAAAUGCGCAGAUAUCAGGAGGAACACCGGUGGCGAAGGCGGAUCUCUGGGCCAUUACUGACGCUGAGGAGCGAAAGCGUGGGGAGCGAACAGGAUUAGAUACCCUGGUAGUCCACGCCGUAAACGGUGGGAACUAGGUGUUGGCGACAUUCCACGUCGUCGGUGCCGCAGCUAACGCAUUAAGUUCCCCGCCUGGGGAGUACGGCCGCAAGGCUAAAACUCAAAGGAAUUGACGGGGGGCCGCACAAGCAGCGGAGCAUGUGGCUUAAU